rnacentral:rRNA from 1 species
AUGGCGGAGGAGCUUCUGUGGGAGCUCGGGAUGGAGUUGGUGGCAUGCGAGGCGGCAGCUGAAGCUGGGCACGACGACGAGGUUUUCAGGCUCGUCGGGUGCUCGGCGGCGCAAGAUAAGCGAGGCAGGCCGGAGUUGGGCCCAGGUGGGUCACGAAGACGGGCCAAGUGGGCGCUGCUCCUGUCGGCGCGCCAUGGCUCCUGUCCUGCAACGGUUCAGAGAGAGGGAGAGAAACGCGUGAAGGGAAGAAAAAAACAGAGGGAGGAAGGAGAAUUAAGGGGAGGCGGCGAGGGUCCUGGCAUGAUUGCAGCGGCGGAGCUUGCUGUCGUCGAUGGCUGCACAAGUGGCAGCGGCCAUGGGGAGGGGUGGAUCGAGGGGAGGAGGUUGACUGCGAGGGGAUCGAUGGAGGUAGGUGGCGGUGCUGGGUUGGCUCAGGAAGGAGUGAGGGGAUCUCGAGGCAGAUUUUUUGGAGCGGCGGCGGCAGGGAGGGACAAACCUCCUAUGUUUUAG